rnacentral:rRNA from 1 species
ACACAUGCAAGUCGAGCGCGCCUUCGGGUGAGCGGCGGACGGGUUAGUAACGCGUGGGAACGUGCCCUUCUCUACGGAAUAGCCUCUGGAAACGGAGAGUAAUACCGUAUACGCCCUUUGGGGGAAAGAUUUAUCGGAGAAGGAUCGGCCCGCGUUAGAUUAGGUAGUUGGUGGGGUAACNGGCCUACCAAGCCUACGAUCUAUAGCUGGUUUUAGAGGAUGAUCAGNAACACUGGGACUGAGACACGGCCCAGACUCCUACGGGAGGCAGCAGUGGGGAAUCUUAGACAAUGGGGGCAACCCUGAUCUAGCCAUGCCGCGUGAGUGAUGAAGGCCUUAGGGUCGUAAAGCUCUUUCGCCUGUGAUGAUAAUGACAGUAGCAGGUAAGAAACCCCGGCUAACUCCGUGCCA